UUCUCUUUUUUUGGGUUUUUUUGGGAUUUCUUUUUUGCAUUUCUGACGUUUUUCCUGGGAGGUUUUGGGGAUGAAGUGACACAAAAAGCUCCAAAAUCGGCUGAAAAAAACCCAAAAAAUCCAAAUUUUCUUGGGACAGGAGCACAGCCCCGGAGCGAUGGCGCCGCCGCAGCUCCCGGUGCUGCUGCUGCUGCUGUUGGGAUCAGGAAUUCCAGGAAUUCCGGGAAAUUUGGGAAUUCCGGGAUUUUCGGGAGUUUCGGGGAUUGAGGCGGCGCCGGCCCCGGGCAGGAACCGCGAGGAGAUCCCAGCUCCCUCCCGGCGCCGCCCUCGCUCCGUGGCC